rnacentral:rRNA from 1 species
UCAAAGGAAUUGACGGGGGAGCACCACAACAGGUGGAGCCUGCGGUUUUAAUCGGACUCAACGCCGGGAAACUCACCGGAUAAGACAGCUGAAUGAUAGUCGGGCCGAAGACUCUACUUUGACUAGCUGAGAGGAGGUGCAUGGCCGUCGUCAGUUCGUACUGUGAAGCAUCCUGUUAAGUCAGGCAACGAGCGAGACCCACGCCCACAGUUGCCAGCGUACUCUCUGGAGUGACGGGUACACUGUGGGGACCGCCGCUGCUAAAGCGGAGGAAGGAAUGGGCAACGGUAGGUCAGUAUGCCCCGAAUAUCCCGGGCUACACGCGAGCUACAAUGGUUGGUACAAUGGGUAUCUACCCCGAAAGGGGACGGGAAUCUCCUAAAACCAAUCUUAGUUCGGAUUGAGGGCUGCAACUCGCCCUCAUGAAGCUGGAAUCCGUAGUAAUCGCGUUUCAACAGAACGCGGUGAAUACGUCCCUGCUCCUU